rnacentral:rRNA from 1 species
GACAGAGGUGCCAAGCGUUAGGCGGAAUCACUGGGCUUAAAGCGUGUGCAGGCGGAUCGUUAAGUGCCUUGUGAAAUCCCACGGCUCAACCGUGGAACUGCUUGGCAUACUGGCGGUCUUGAGCAACCUAGGGGCGAGCGGAACAAAUGGUGGAGCGGUGAAAUGCGUAGAUAUCAUUUGGAACGCCAAUGGUGAAAACAGCUCGCUGGGGGUUUGCUGACGCUGAGACACGAAAGCCAGGGGAGCAAACGGG